GGUGAAAAGCACCCCGGAAGGGGAGUGAAAUAGAACCUGAAACCGUGUGCUUACAAGUAGUCAGAGCCCGUUAAUGGGUGAUGGCGUGCCUUUUGUAGAAUGAACCGGCGAGUUACGAUUUGAUGCAAGGUUAAGCAGUAAAUGUGGAGCCGUAGCGAAAGCGAGUCUGAAUAGGGCGUUUAGUAUUUGGUCGUAGACCCGAAACCAGGUGAUCUACCCUUGGUCAGGUUGAAGUUCAGGUAACACUGAAUGGAGGACCGAACCGACUUACGUUGAAAAGUGAGCGGAUGAACUGAGGGUAGCGGAGAAAUUCCAAUCGAACCUGGAGAUAGCUGGUUCUCUCCGAAAUAGCUUUAGGGCUAGCCUCAAGUGAUGAUUAUUGGAGGUAGAGCACUGUUUGGACGAGGGGCCCCUCUCGGGUUACCGAAUUCAGACAAACUCCGAAUGCCAAUUAAUUUAACUUGGGAGUCAGAACAUGGGUGAUAAGGUCCGUGUUCGAAAGGGAAACAGCCCAGACCACCAGCUAAGGUCCCAAAAUAUAUGUUAAGUGGAAAAGGAUGUGGCGUUGCCCAGACAACUAGGAUGUUGGCUUAGAAGCAGCCAUCAUUUAAAGAGUGCGUAAUAGCUCACUAGUCGAGUGACACUGCGCCGAAAAUGUACCGGGGCUAAACAUAUUACCGAAGCUGUGGAUUGUCCUUUGGACAAUGGUAGGAGAGCGUUCUAAGGGCGUUGAAGCAUGAUCGUAAGGACAUGUGGAGCGCUUAGAAGUGAGAAUGCCGGUGUGAGUAGCGAAAGACGGGUGAGAAUCCCGUCCACCGAUUGACUAAGGUUUCCAGAGGAAGGCUCGUCCGCUCUGGGUUAGUCGGGUCCUAAGCUGAGGCCGACAGGCGUAGGCGAUGGAUAACAGGUUGAUAUUCCUGUACCACCUAUAAUCGUUUUAAUCGAUGGGGGGACGCAGUAGGAUAGGCGAAGCGUGCGAUUGGAUUGCACGUCUAAGCAGUAAGGCUGAGUAUUAGGCAAAUCCGGUACUCAUUAAGGCUGAGCUGUGAUGGGGAGAAGACAUUGUGUCUUCGAGUCGUUGAUUUCACACUGCCGAGAAAAGCCUCUAGAUAGAAAAUAGGUGCCCGUACCGCAAACCGACACAGGUAGUCAAGAUGAGAAUUCUAAGGUGAGCGAGCGAACUCUCGUUAAGGAACUCGGCAAAAUGACCCCGUAACUUCGGGAGAAGGGGUGCUCUUUAGGGUUAACGCCCAGAAGAGCCGCAGUGAAUAGGCCCAAGCGACUGUUUAUCAAAAACACAGGUCUCUGCUAAACCGUAAGGUGAUGUAUAGGGGCUGACGCCUGCCCGGUGCUGGAAGGUUAAGAGGAGUGGUUAGCUUCUGCGAAGCUACGAAUCGAAGCCCCAGUAAACGGCGGCCGUAACUAUAACGGUCCUAAGGUAGCGAAAUUCCUUGUCGGGUAAGUUCCGACCCGCACGAAAGGCGUAACGAUUUGGGCACUGUCUCAACGAGAGACUCGGUGAAAUCAUAGUACCUGUGAAGAUGCAGGUUACCCGCGACAGGACGGAAAGACCCCGUGGAGCUUUACUGUAGCCUGAUAUUGAAAUUCGGCACAGCUUGUACAGGAUAGGUAGGAGCCUUUGAAACGUGAGCGCUAGCUUACGUGGAGGCGCUGGUGGGAUACUACCCUAGCUGUGUUGGCUUUCUAACCCGCACCACUUAUCGUGGUGGGAGACAGUGUCAGGCGGGCAGUUUGACUGGGGCGGUCGCCUCCUAAAAGGUAACGGAGGCGCUCAAAGGUUCCCUCAGAAUGGUUGGAAAUCAUUCAUAGAGUGUAAAGGCAUAAGGGAGCUUGACUGCGAGACCUACAAGUCGAGCAGGGUCGAAAGACGGACUUAGUGAUCCGGUGGUUCCGCAUGGAAGGGCCAUCGCUCAACGGAUAAAAGCUACCCCGGGGAUAACAGGCUUAUCUCCCCCAAGAGUUCACAUCGACGGGGAGGUUUGGCACCUCGAUGUCGGCUCAUCGCAUCCUGGGGCUGUAGUCGGUCCCAAGGGUUGGGCUGUUCGCCCAUUAAAGCGGUACGCGAGCUGGGUUCAGAACGUCGUGAGACAGUUCGGUCCCUAUCCGUCGUGGGCGUAGGAAAUUUGAGAGGAGCUGUCCUUAGUACGAGAGGACCGGGAUGGACAUACCUCUGGUGUACCAGUUGUCGUGCCAACGGCAUAGCUGGGUAGCUAUGUGUGGACGGGAUAAGUGCUGAAAGCAUCUAAGCAUGAAGCC
rnacentral:rRNA from 1 species